CGGAGAUUCCCGGUCGGAAUAUUAUCGCUUUUUUACCAGAAAAAUGGCAUAAAAAUGGAUUUUAAACAGCGGUUGACAUGCUUCGAAGUACGGUAAUGGAAUAUUUAGACAUUUUUUGUCACGAAUUGCGCCAUGCUCAUGACCCUGAUUUACCAUUUCGGAUAGUGUCUGGAACGCACGAACAAAACGCCGCUAUUUGGAUAUAACGAUGGAUUAUUUUGGACCAAACCAACAUUUGUUAUUGAAGUAGCAGUCGUGGGAGUGCAUUCUGACGAAGACAACAAAGAUAACUUGAAAAUGGGGUCGAUUACAGAAAGAGCCCAGGGAAGAUGAGUCGAAGUCGAAGUUGAAGCAGGAAUUGAGCUUGGAUGCUACGAACAGAAGUUGGCACAUUGACGGUACAGACUUCAGACCAGUCUCCUGACACCUGUGAGACCAAUGUCUCAUGGUCUGCCAAACACCAUUCUAACUCUGCCACCUUUCACUGCAGCAGAAGUAUCACAUCGGUGGAUGCGGUGGCUAAAAACAGAUAUCUCUAGCUUUAACUGAUGGAUUUUGAUGGUGAUUUAUUUUAUGUUACUUAGAUUGAUGCACCAGUGCGUCAAUUGACUCUAGGACAUUAUACAUUAACAAAAAGGC
rnacentral:lncRNA from 1 species